ensembl:lncRNA
GAGGGGAUGGAAUGAGUGGGUGUCCAAUCAGCUCCUUUCCUGCAGAGGAGCAGGGACAGGGUCUCUCCUUCAGGCCCCACAAGAUUUUCAGUCUGAGGAAAGACAACUUCUUUCCGAAAGAUCGGACUCAGGUGUCCAAUUCUGCACGAAGCCUUUCCUGGGCACCUGCACCUCCAAAGCUGGGCCUCCCCUUUCCUGUGCCCCCAAGACCUGGGCUCUGGAAACGUCCCCCCUGCACGCUUGCUCUCCAGAUCCAUCCGGAUCCCGUGUGUGCUUCCAGACAACUCUCCUGCGGUCGUCCCCAGAGGUCCGGGAUGGGGUCCCCAAGGAAGGGAGUUCAUGGGGCAGGUGGUCUCAGGAAGCACAUGGGAGCAGUGGGGACGAGAAGAGAGAAAGGUCACGGGGAUGGUGUGUGAACAGAUGAGCCCUCCCCGACCCCACCAGGAUUUCCUGAAGAACCUUGCAGAAUGAACCUCGAGCUGACCCACUGAGAGUCCACGGCAAAACAGCAGCGUGGACUUGUGGAUUCCUCUGCCUAUCGAUUGGGAGUUUGCCUAGGGGCGUGAAACGUCCUGCACUUGUGGGUGGCCCUGCUACAAGCGGGCUGGGAGGCUCCCCUUAAAGCCCUGAAGCCUGGAAACAGAGGCAGGGCACACAGAACAGCAGGGGGCGCUAGAGAGAUGUCAGCGCUGGGUCCUCUCUGCUGCGUAGCUGCUGCCCGUGGUCCACGGUGUCCCUGCGUCGAAAGUCACGUCUCUUGCCGGAUGGUCCUCUCUCUAAGGCGCUCUCUGCCUGCGAUCUGCUAACUUCCCCCCUACUCCGCCCCAUCCAGGUCCAGGCGACUGCCCCCUGCCCACGCCUCUGCGAAUGGGAUCUUCGUUUCCCUGCCCCACACUCCCAGAGUGUGCGUCCUGUCCUUCCUGCCAGGACCGAGCUGUCACGUCCUGUUCCGACCUAGGCCCUGCUGUGACCUCCUUCCUCCCGCUAUGGUCUCCACUCCCACCGACCUCGUGCAAAGGGGGACAGUCAAUACAUUUUCCCACCCAUGGGUGUCCCUCUCCAUUCGAUGCAGCUCGGGCCAUUUGCUGUCGCGCGGGGGUCAGGGGCACUGACAGGCACUCCGUUCGUAUUGUGCUGAACUUCAAGAAGCGGUUUCACCGGACACGGGGCUCUUGCCAAAGGAGGGGCAGCGGUGGGGUUCUGGGACGCCUGCGGGGAGACUCCAGGGCCAAUCCCAGCCGGUGUCUGAAGACAACCACGGCUGUGCUAAGGCCGGCCAGGUGCUACGCUACCAACUGGACACAGGCCGCCUCUAGACUCACAAGGGGCCCUCUCCACAGGUCAUAGGUGAGUUAACCCAACCAGGCCCAGAGGCCGACAGGUUUACAGCCGGGAAUUGGCAGUGAGGAGGACUCGGCCCCAGGUGGCCCGGAAGGCUGGCUGUCACAGCGCAUUGCAUAGCAGAGGCCGGGGUUUGGGGAGAAAACGGCAAGAGAGUCCCCACCGAACAGGGAGUGAAUUAGGCAGAAGCCAGAGUGGAAAGCCACAGCGAAGCGUCCGUGUCUUGGCCUCCACGCUGCCCACGUGUGGGGCCGGCUGGCGCGUCCCACUCAUCCUUGGAUGAGCCACGUGGAAGUGCGCAAAGCACAUGACACGUGCUCUAGAGCAGAGGCAAAGGACAAGUCCCCUGAGGCCAGGCCCCCCGGCACCAGGACACCACAGCAGGUUUGGCAGGGAGUCC